rnacentral:rRNA from 1 species
CACGAAGUUAGCCGGGGCUUCUUCUGUGGGUACCGUCAUUAUCUUCCCCACUGAAAGAGCUUUACAACCCUAAGGCCUUCAUCACUCACGCGGCAUGGCUGGAUCAGGCUUGCGCCCAUUGUCCAAUAUUCCCCACUGCUGCCUCCCGUAGGAGUCUGGGCCGUGUCUCAGUCCCAGUGUGGCUGAUCAUCCUCUCAGACCAGCUAAAGAUCGUCGCCUUGGUAGGCCAUUACCCCACCAACUAGCUAAUCUUACGCGGGCUCAUCUAAUUCCGAUAAAUCUUUCCCCCGUAGGGCGUAUACGGUAUUAGCACAAGUUUCCCUGUGUUGUUCCGUAGAACUAGGUAGAUUCCCACGCGUUACUCACCCGUCUGCCACUCCCCUUGCGGGGCGUUCGACUUGCAUGUGUUAAGCCUGCCGCCAGCGUUCGUUCUGAGCCAGGAUCAAACUCU